UACGUAGGGCGCAAGCGUUGUCCGGAAUUAUUGGGCGUAAAGAGCUCGUAGGCGGCUUGUCACGUCGGGUGUGAAAGCCCGGGGCUUAACCCCGGGUCUGCAUUCGAUACGGGCAGGCUAGAGUUCGGUAGGGGAGAUCGGAAUUCCUGGUGUAGCGGUGAAAUGCACAGAUAAUCAGGAGGAACACCGGUGGCGAAGGCGGAUCUCUGGGCCGAUACUGACGUGAGGAGCGAAAGCGUGGGGAGCGAACAGG
rnacentral:rRNA from 1 species